AGUGAACGCUGGCGGUAGGCCUAACACAUGCAAGUCGAACGGCAGCACAGUAAGAGCUUGCUCUUACGGUUGGCGAGUGGCGGACGGGUGAGGAAUACAUCGGAAUCUACUUUUUCGUGGGGGAUAACGUAGGGAAACUUACGCUAAUACCGCAUACGACCUACGGGUUAAAGCAUGGGAUCUUCGGACCUUUCGCGAUUGAAUGAGCCGAUGUCGGAUUAGCUAGUUGGCGGGGUAAAGGCCCACCAAGGCGACGAUCCGUAGCUGGUCUGAGAGGAUGAUCAGCCACACUGGAACUGAGACACGCUCCAGACUCCUACGGGAGGCAGCAGUGGGGAAUAUUGGACAAUGGGCGCAAGCCUGAUCCAGCAAUACCGCGUGGGUGAAGAAGGCCUUCGGGUUGUAAAGCCCUUUUGUUGGGAAAGAAAAGCAGCAGGUUAAUACCCCGCUGUUCUGACGGUACCCAAAGAAUAAGCACCGGCUAACUUCGUG
rnacentral:rRNA from 1 species